ACAAACCACUUGUUCAACAAUUGUGGAUGGCUUGGUUUGGAUUUUUCCUGGUUUAGAUACCCUAACCAUAAAGUCUGCUUCUACCAAUAAGCUCAUUAAGUUCUUCCAACAUUUUUCGGAGAAUGUAUACAGAGCCUUGCCAGCUAGCACAAUUGGGUUUUGUUAAUUACAGUUCUUCCAACAUUUCUCAUGUUCAAUACAGAAGACAAUCUUGCUUUUUCGCAUUGUUCUGUGA